GGCAUAUGUUCUUGAGCCGGGCUGUUGGUAUGAACACAGCACAGGUGUGGAUCCGUACUGGAAACCAGCUUUAUAUUUUCCCAGGAUCACAGCUACAUCCCACACCAGCUUUAAAGAUGACUUAUUUUAUGCUGUUCUGGGAGUGAUUUUAAUAUCAGAAGCAUUUUAAAAGUGACAGUCACACUCAUUUGCUUGAGAGGUUAAUGGCAGUGGGGCCCGUCUAGAAUUCACCCGGCUGGCAGUGGGGCCCGUGCCCUUUCAUACUCGAUGCAGCUAUUUGAGGGUGCUUGUUUCAUGUUCAUUACUAGAUGUAAGGCAUGAUGAUAACUUUUAUUGUGGUUCUGUAGUAGUAUCUGCAGAAAAAUAUCUAAUUUUCAAAAGAGCAAAAUGCAGCUGUGGGUACAUUGUUCUCUGUCAUUAAUUCUAAACCCUUUCUUUUCAAUGGUUCUGAGGCAAACAUUUGUUAGAGGAUGUUGAGAAUCUUUCGCCCUGAAGUAUGGGUAAGUGUUUUUGAAAGCUUGACCGAUAUGAUGGAAGAAUAGUUCACUUUUGAUCAGAAUACAGUGUGCUAUCACAUCUGGUUAGUCUUCCCUAGUUUCACAGUUGAGAAAUGAUUUUUCUUUGGGGAGUUCUGCUCAGUAUCACAGUGAGAGGUGGGAGAGAAGCCUGUUAAGACAGAUUAAAAAUAUUCAUGAUUUUUGCACAGCCUCCUAAAAUCCACAAUUGUAAGCAUUUGAAAAUAUGUUUAAAUAAAACGUAAGUAUUAAUGAACAUGUUUUGUUUGCUUUUUGUGCAACAAAUUAUUCCUCUAGAAGUUAUUUUCUGUUUUCCGAUAUUUCUCUUGUGUGUGCUACUUCACUUACUUCUGUUCUGUAACCAGGGAGCUGCUACCU
rnacentral:lncRNA from 1 species